rnacentral:rRNA from 1 species
GGGUUGUGAGGUUAAGCGACUAAGCGUACACGGUGGAUGCCCUGGCAGUCAGAGGCGAUGAAGGACGUGCUAAUCUGCGAUAAGCGCCGGUAAGGUGAUAUGAACCGUUAUAACCGGCGAUUUCCGAAUGGGGAAACCCAGUGUGAUUCGUCACACUAUCAUUAACUGAAUCCAUAGGUUAAUGAGGCGAACCGGGGGAACUGAAACAUCUAAGUACCCCGAGGAAAAGAAAUCAACCGAGAUUCCCCCAGUAGCGGCGAGCGAACGGGGAGGAGCCCAGAGCCUGAAUCAGCAUGUGUGUUAGUGGAAGCGUCUGGAAAGGCGCGCGAUACAGGGUGACAGCCCCGUACACAAAAGCGCAUGUGCUGUGAGCUCGAUGAGUAGGGCGGGACACGUGGUAUCCUGUCUGAAUAUGGGGGGACCAUCCUCCAAGGCUAAAUACUCCUGACUGACCGAUAGUGAACCAGUACCGUGAGGGAAAGGCGAAAAGAACCCCGGCGAGGGGAGUGAAAAAGAACCUGAAACCGUGUACGUACAAGCAGUGGGAGCACCCUUCGGGGUGUGACUGCGUACCUUUUGUAUAAUGGGUCAGCGACUUAUAUUCUGUAGCAAGGUUAACCGUAUAGGGGAGCCGGAGGGAAACCGAGUCUUAAUUGGGCG